CCUACGGGUGGCAGCAGUGAGGAAUAUUGGUCAAUGGCCGAGAGGCUGAACCAGCCAAGUCGCGUGAGGGAAGACGGCCCUACGGGUUGUAAACCUCUUUUGUCGGGGAGCAAAGCGAGUCACGUGUGACUCAUUGAGAGUACCAGAAGAAAAAGCAUCGGCUAACUCCGUGCCAGCAGCCGCGGUAAUACGGAGGAUGCGAGCGUUAUCCGGAUUUAUUGGGUUUAAAGGGUGCGAAGGUGGAUGUUCAAGUCAGCGGUCAACUUGCGGGGCUCAACCCCGUAUUGCCGUUGAAACUGCAUCCCGUGAGUGCGUGAGAAGUAUGCGGAAUGCGGGGUGUAGCGGGGAAAUGCAUAGAUAUCACGCAGAACUCCGAUUGCGAAGGCAGCAUACCGGCGCGCAACUGACGCUCAUGCACGAAAGCGUGGGUAUCGAACAGGAUUAGAUACCCCAGUAGUC
rnacentral:rRNA from 1 species